rnacentral:rRNA from 1 species
UGGGGAAUAUUGCACAAUGGGCGGAAGCCUGAUGCAGCGACGCCGCGUGAGGGAUGACGGCCUUCGGGUUGUAAACCUCUUUCAGUAGGGACGAAGCGUAAGUGACGGUACCUGCAGAAGAAGCACCGGCUAACUACGUGCCAGCAGCCGCGGUAAUACGUAGGGUGCGAGCGUUGUCCGGAAUUACUGGGCGUAAAGGGCAUCUAGGCGGUUAAACUAGUUGAAGGUGAAAACCUGUGGCUCAACCAUAGGCUUGCCUACAAAACUGUAUAACUAGAGUACUGGAAAGGUGGGUGGAACUACACGAGUAGAGGUGAAAUUCGUAGAUAUGUGUAGGAAUGCCGAUGAUGAAGAUAACUCACUGGACAGCAACUGACGCUGAAGUGCGAAAGCUAGGGGAGCAAACAGG